AUGAGAGGAGGGAGGCCGAUGGUGAAAUAGAGGAACGGUCACGAACAGGUGACGGAGUGGAUGUUGCUCCCCUGUGGUGCCCCAUUUCUCUGGAAACAUUUGCAAAGGCCGAGUUGUUGGCUUUUUAUACCUUAGCGAAGAUACGGGCUACGGAACAAGAGAAGCCUCUCGCCUGGUGUUUCACCCGGCCGCUCGAAGGAAGACUGCGCUAUCCGCAUGCGGAUUCACACCACCUCUUGCAACCGUUGUAGAUGAAGAAACGAAUCUCCCUCACAAAGGCGCUGCACACCACACCGUCUCACGAGGCAAAAAGCCCCCAUGUGCGGAGCUGCGCACGAGUUUGGUUUUGCAUUGCCGCCCGUCCGUUCCUACAAGGUCCAGCUGGGCUGCCUCGGGUUCCUAGACAGACCGCCCAGUCUAUCGGGCCUGCUUCUUCCCCCUGGGGAUCUACUGCUCUUUUCCACGGUAACACUCCUUUGUUGGCGAAACCCUCCUUGGCGAAAUCCCUGCGUUUUUGGCGUCGCGGGGUGUUCUUUCCGGGCGGACUGCCGGCAGGGGCUGAAAAAAAUUCGUUCCUACUUGUUUCAGUUACGUCGCGUGUUGUAUGGGGCGUCAUCAAUCUAGGCAUCUCUCGUUCCAACAAAGAGCACCGUCUCACAUUUCUACGCAAAGAGGCAGCUUGGCUGCCUCUUCCUCCGCAAAAUGGUCCCCUCCCACUCGUGUUGAAAGACUCAGGACAUGUGCCUGCCUGAGCAGAAGCGCGCCGAGGCUGCAAGUCUUCAUGACUGCUCGGCCGACAAGGACGAAUGCAAUGAGAAGCCCCGCGGCAACGAGCCCAGCAACGAACAUCGGCCACGAACUGGUGCGCCUGGUGCUCUGCAUCGCCUCCUCUUGGGGUUGUUCACCGGACGCUGAGCCGCCUUCCGUCUUCGCGCCGCCCGCUGGUGCCGCGCGUUGCUGUCCCUUUUGCAACUCGGGUCGGGCCUUGGCCGCCUUCGCCGUGGGCGUCUUCUCGGACUCCGCGUUGUUCUGCGCUCCCACCGGUGGGGCCUUGGGGGCAUCGUUCGCGACUUCCUCGGGUGUCUUGGCAGGCGGCAGCACUCCUCGGCCCCGACUGGCUUCCUUGUCCCUGGACGCGUCUUCGGACUCUGAGCCACUUGGUUCUUGAUCGCCGCGCGCACCGUCCUUCUCCACUUCCUUCUCCCCUUCCUUCUUGCUUUUGUCCCCGUCCUUCACCAGAUCCGGAAUCACCGUGGUAACCAGCUGAGUCGCCAGCUGGUCCAUGGUUUUCACAAAGUGGUCGAAAGGCGACUCACGAAGAGGACGCGGGGGGGGCGCGACAAUCGAUCCGAUGCGGAAGAUUCGCACCGCACCCGAUCCUCGGAGAACGGGUCGCGAAGAAAAUGCCGGCGUAGGAAAGAGUACGGGGCCGUCCACCGGAGACCCGAAAGACCGAGACGGAGACCCAAACAUACCGGAGCCCAAGCGCCGCAUAACGGGGAGACCGCUAGCCAUCUGCGGGGCUGGCAGGUGCUCCUCAGUAGGCUGCGGCCUGCAGGGAGGGGAAACGGCCAAAGAGAGCCCAGGAAAACACAGGCGCGUGAAACAGAAAGGGACGGAACUAGGCGGGAAAAGAGAGUCAAGGCUAAGAAGACAGAGACCCGUGCACAAAAUGCGGGAAAACGACUGGGAGCAUGGAACGAGAACUGAUACAGGGGAGAGACACAGCCUUCUUGCUACGAGACACGCGUUUUCAAACGGGGGCCUUCUUUCUUUGGACGCCACAACUGCUCGGCAUGCACUCGGAGAGCCCGGCCCGAAUUGCCGAGUAGGUUUCCUGCCUCGACGAGAGCGGCGUGACUGCCGAAGCAAACGCGAGACUUUCACACGCCUCAGCAUCGGCGCGCCAUCCCCUUCCACCGGCGUUUCCUCACAGUGCCCCAUGCGGCCCCGCCCGUGCGUGUCCGCGGACUCUCUCCGUGGCAGGUCGAGAACGCCGAACGCGGGGUGAGAGUGUCAUUCGGUUCACAAGGGAAUCUCAGAGAAGAAGAAAAGUGACAAGCAGGGGGAGACAGUGAACACCAACGAAUCGCCGCACUUCAGGUAUGCCCACAUGGGCACGUCGGAGUCCACGGAAGCGCGAAGAACCUUUCUCCCGUUUGCCUCCCUUUCCACCCUGUGUCCGAGGAAGAAGACACGACACAGCGAUGGGCUUGCGCGCACGUGGAGGCGCACUGGAUGCGUUCACGGCAUCCAGGGAUACGUGAACGGGGACUUACUUCUCUAUCAGCGUCGCCAUGAGAAGGACUGUGUCGUGAGGCCCCAAUUCAAACUGCAGAGGGGAUGCAUUUGGCCCCAGAAGCCCGAGAGCCUCGUGCCUCCAGAUAUCCUUGAUUUCGUGGGGAAAGUCGCGCACGAUACCAAGCCACUCCUUGAAACUUUCCCAGUCGAGUUUUUGAGUGACUGGUUCGUCGCUCCAGUUCGAGAUACCGAUGGCAAAUUUAGGACCAAAGAGCGAAGACAUCCAUGCGUGGGUGGAGCCUUCUCCAAGUAUUCGGUGUCCUGAAAAGCCCAGAGAGACAGCACGACGCGGGAAUGCGCAUCGGCACGGGGCGCAACGUCCCUCACAUCGACGCGCCCCCUGCGAAACUGGGACUUUGAAUUUUCCUGUCCUAACACAGCUCAUGUGGGGCGUAGAUGGAGGCUCCAGAAAGGGGGGGCGACCGCGGGGACAGAGACAAACUGAGAGUGCCGUGCGCCACCAGCGUCUCCUUCGAGUCAAGCAACGGCCUAACGAACGACGGUGUGGGGUCUCGACAAGAAUGGGCUAUCUCGAGUUCUGUGGCUGCCGGAGAAGAUAUGCACGAAGCAGGGAUCUGGAGAUAGCGAAUGUGCAUUCUCCAAGGAAAAAAAAGCAACAGAGACGCUCGCGAGAGAGACGACGAAAGAAUCGGAGGGAGAGAAAACCGAAUGCGGAAGAGAGGACGGAGACCAAAACAGGACGGUUCCACCAGGUGCCUGUGGAGAAGAAGCUAACUGGAGAGGAUGCCGGAGCAUUCAAGGGCCGACUGUCUCUAUCACUCUAUGCCUUUGCGGUGCUUCCCCCCUUUUUACGUGAGGUGUCUGGACACUCGACUCACCCCACAUCACAUCCACGUUUGCGGCGACAUCGGUGGCGCCUCGUUCCGUCAAAACAUCUGCGGAGUCGCAUGUGAGAUGCCACAGAUUACACAACGAAAACAUGAUGAUAGGUUGGAACUCGCGCGGAAGAAUGAGGCUCGCAUACGGCCCUUUCGCCUGUUCGAAAAGGAGACGCAGGCGCGGCGGAAACCCCGGAAAAGCACGGAGCAGCCCUGUGAUGCUCGGAACGGGUGUUCGUUAAAAGAAGAAAGAGCGCGCCAGAAUGUGUGGAAAGCAAGCUUUAGACUACAUGGGGACUGUCGGGCUGUACGUACACAGAGGAAUGCACUGGACCUAGAAAACUCACCAGUCGACAGUGAAACGUCUCUACGUGGACCCCCUGAACACUGGCAGGAGGAUCGAAGUGAACACUCUUGUCAAUCUUUCUGGUGCGAAUUUCGGCACGCCGCUGAGACCUCGCCCUUCCUUCCAAACUGU
rnacentral:lncRNA from 1 species